rnacentral:rRNA from 1 species
GAUGAACGCUGGCGGCGUGCCUAAUACAUGCAAGUCGAGCGAACGGACGAGAAGCUUGCUUCUCUGAUGUUAGCGGCGGACGGGUGAGUAACACGUGGAUAACCUACCUAUAAGACUGGGAUAACUUCGGGAAACCGGAGCUAAUACCGGAUAAUAUUUUGAACCGCAUGGUUCAAAAGUGAAAGACGGUCUUGCUGUCACUUAUAGAUGGAUCCGCGCUGCAUUAGCUAGUUGGUAAGGUAACGGCUUACCAAGGCAACGAUGCAUAGCCGACCUGAGAGGGUGAUCGGCCACACUGGAACUGAGACACGGUCCAGACUCCUACGGGAGGCAGCAGUAGGGAAUCUUCCGCAAUGGGCGAUAGCCUGACGGAGCAACGCCGCGUGAGUGAUGAAGGUCUUCGGAUCGUAAAACUCUGUUAUUAGGGAAGAACAUAUGUGUAAGUAACUGUGCACAUCUUGACGGUACCUAAGCAGAAAGCCACGGCUAACUACGU